rnacentral:rRNA from 1 species
UACGGAGGGAGCUAGCGUUGUUCGGAAUUACUGGGCGUAAAGCGCACGUAGGCGGCUUUGUAAGUUAGAGGUGAAAGCCCGGGGCUCAACUCCGGAAUUGCCUUUAAGACUGCAUCGCUUGAAUCCGGGAGAGGUGAGUGGAAUUCCGAGUGUAGAGGUGAAAUUCGUAGAUAUUCGGAAGAACACCAGUGGCGAAGGCGGCUCACUGGACCGGUAUUGACGCUGAGGUGCGAAAGCGUGGGGAGCAAACCGG